GAGCCGGUAGCUCAGUGGCAGAGCCGCGGACUUUUAAUCCGUCGGUCGUGGGUUCGAAUCCCACCCGGCUCA
rnacentral:tRNA from 1 species